AUGGGUGGCAGGGGUUUCCGCGGCGGCGCUGCCGGUGCCGGGUGGUCGCAAGAUCCGAGGGGGUUGCGAGGCGAGCGUUCUUCCUUUUCCGGCGGCGACCUGCCCGCCGGACUCACAGAUGGACAUCUCUCUCCAACUUGAGAUUGAUCGUGGUAAAAGCCUGGAGUAGCUGAAAGGAGGUUGUGUUGGCCAUAGAGUAUAGUUUCUCUGAGACUCAGGUUCCACUACGAGAAUGAACCGGUCGCACCAGUCCAAGAUCUGCUUCUUUGAGAUGACCAUGUCGCUCCCAUAUCCUUCCAUUCUGAACUCUUUGCCAUCCACGAAGUUUGAGUGCUUCUGCUUCUCUUCCAGUGAGAGUUUGUAAAAUUAUCUUGUCACUUUCAUCA